UAAGCUGACCUCCCACUCGGAGCUGUAUUGCAGCACGGACGAGAGCUGGACCAGCCCGAAGGGCUUCACCGCCAGCAACCCGGCCGCGACCUGGGAAGACUUGGAGGCCCCCAGCACCAACUGCAUCAACCUAGAGAACGUGGACACCUCGCAGAAGAUCCACAUCCAGCGACCAUCCGUCAUCGUCCCCUGAGUGGAGCCACUCAAGAGGCAGCGGCGAGCGGAGGGG